UACGUAGGGUGCGAGCGUUAAUCGGAAUUACUGGGCGUAAAGCGUGCGCAGGCGGUUUUGUAAGCCAGAUGUGAAAUCCCCGGGCUUAACCUGGGAAUGGCAUUUGGGACUGCAAGGCUUGAGUGCGGCAGAGGAGACUGGAAUUCCUGGUGUAGCAGUGAAAUGCGUAGAUAUCAGGAGGAACACCGGUGGCGAAGGCGGUUCUCUGGGCCUUACCUGACGCCGAGGAGCGAAAGCGUGGGGAGCAAACAGG
rnacentral:rRNA from 1 species